UUUGAGACUGGCAAUUCUGAGCCAGUCUUCCUUAUUAAUUACACUCAAAAGAGCACUAGCUCCCUUCGGUUCACACAACUGUGCUAAGACGCUCGGGAGACUUUGCCUCGCCGCCUUCCUCUCUCUCUCUCUGGUUCACUUUCCUUCGCCGCCGCCACCAUGGUGGCACACAGAACCGCCCUCUUGCUGGGUUUUCUGGUCUUUCUUGAAAUGCAUUUUAUUCUCACGGUGUCAGCUACUGAUUGUCCAUUAGAUUUGAGUGGGUCAAACUUUACACUCGCUGCCUCCAUCUGCUCCAAUAAAGAAGAAAGAGGGAAAUGUUGCCGGUACAUUAAUGCCCUUAUUGCAGUUUCUAUUGCUCGCUAUGCAAAUCUCACGAGCAGCCUGGGGGUUACUCCAGAUUUAUCUCAGAUUUGCAUCAGUUCCAUUUCAGAAACCUUAGACCUAUAUGGGAUAACAAGAAAUGCAACUGUUUUCUGUGGAUUGGGAACCAAAAUCCCUGUUAAUUAUGAAUGCCAAGGUCGAACAACUGUUACACAGAUGCUGCAAUCUCCAACAUUUCCAGAUGUCACCGAAAAUUGCCAACUGCCACUGUCAAUGGAGAGUAAUUGCAGAACAUGUUUAAAUGCCGGAAUUCUAUAUCUUCGCAAUCUAAUAGGUGCAGUGGAUAAUAUGACGUUAAGUACAUGUCGGGAUGCAACUUUUGUUGCACUUGCCAGCCAAGUUGAUAAUGUGUCCGCUGUCGACAUUGCAAGCUGCUUCUUUGGGGUUCCAGGGCUUAUGACUCCUCCAGCUUCGGAGCCAUCCCCAUCUUUGCUUUCACCUGAGGCUUCUCCGAGUCCAUUGGUUGCUGCUAGCCCAGGCCAGCUCUCCUUGAGUCCGCGUCUUAACGAAACACACCAUCUCUUUCAUCUCACGUUAAUUCCAUGUCUGGGUAUAGCAGUUACAGCAGUUGCAGUUGUGUCGCUGGUAGUCUUGAUAUUUUUGAUUCGUAGGAAAAGAAGAGAGCUAGAGGAUUCUGAGACUAUUGAUAAGUCCUCUUCAAAAGGCUACACUCAACCUCCAAGAAAAUUUCUGGAAGGCCCAUCGUCUAUGUUUCGAAAAUUCAGUUACAAGGAGACAAAGAAGGCAACAGAUCACUUCAACACAAUAAUUGGACAAGGGGGAUUUGGAACUGUUUACAAAGCUCAGUUUAGUGAUGGUACCGUAGUAGCGGUGAAGCGGAUGGACAAAGUUUCAGAGCAAGCUGAGGAUGAAUUCUGUAGAGAAAUAGAGCUUCUUGCUAGGCUGCAUCAUCGUCAUCUUGUUUCUCUUAGAGGCUUUUGCAUUGAAAGACGUGAAAGGUUUCUCAUGUAUGAGUAUAUGGCUAAUGGAAGCUUGAAAGACCAUCUUCACACUCCAGGUAGAACUCCUCUGAGUUGGCAGACUAGAAUUCAAAUUGCCAUUGAUGUGGCAAAUGCCUUGGAGUACCUCCAUUUCUAUUGUGAUCCUCCACUGUGCCAUAGAGACAUUAAGUCCAGCAAUAUUUUAUUAGACGAGAAUUUCAUUGCGAAGGUUGCUGAUUUUGGCCUUUUGCAUGCUUCAAAAGAUGGAUCAGUUUGCUUUGAACCAGUGAACACUGACAUCAGGGGCACUCCAGUUUCAGGUUACAUGGAUCCCGAGUAUGUGACCACUCAAGAGCUCACCGAAAAAAGUGAUGUGUAUAGUUAUGGUGUGCUACUAUUAGAACUGGUUACUGGCAGAAGAGCAAUACAAGACAACAAGAAUUUGGUGGAAUGGUCCCAAGUAUUUUUGAAUUCAGAGUCAAGUCUUGCUGAGCUUGUGGACCCCAGUAUCGGUGAUUUGUUCGACUUUGAUCAACUUCAAACAGUAGCGACAAUUGUGAGAUGGUGUACCCAGAGAGAAGGAAGGGCUAGACCGUCAAUUAAGCAAGUUCUUCGGCUUCUGUACGAGUGUUCAGAUCCGAUGCAUAGUGGGUUUGUUGAAGCUGUGGAAGAUGAAGAGUAUGAAGGAACUGAUGGGAGAGGGAGAAGGAGUAAAGGGAAAAUGCAUAGAGCCGAGGUGUUUUUUCACAGUGGAGAUGGAAGGUGUCUCGCUUCUUCUUCAAGUACAUCUAGGUCGUAUUGUAGUAGAAGCUUUCUACUUGAAACUGGUUCUCCGCAAUCUCCUUCAGCUAUACCCUCCAUUUGAGGACAACCAAUCAUCUGUUUAGCCACUUAUAAUGGAUUUUGGACUUUCUUGGGUGGAGCACUUUGACGAAGCUGUGGUUGAAUUGUAAAGCACAGGAUCAUAUUUGAUUCAGAAUGUCAUCCAAAAGCUUUGAACAUUUUGAAACCCCCAACACGAGCUUUAUUAAUCGCAUUUGCAGCAACUUUACGAUCAUUUCUAUCUAUGGCCUGAGUAGCUUUUGGAAAUAGAUUGUUCACAAUUGGGAUGUAAAGCUUCUUGCACUUACAAUAUAUUUUCGCCUUUCGAUUUAACUGGAUUGGAUUCAAUAAUCUCAUUGGCGAGGUUUAGUAGAAUAGUUGCCUUAGCAUUUGUAGCUUCAGCAGCAAUAAUGAUGCUUAGAACUUGGAUAUUUGCAUUUUUGGUUCAAAAAUCUUACUCGAAAACUGAGUGACAAUGGCU